AAGCAGGAAAAAUUGGAGCCUUUUCUUUUCAUAUAUAUUAUAGGCCUGGAGCAAAUACUAGUAGCGAAUAUUGGCCGUAACUUGAAUUGUUGUUUGACUUGUUUAAAAAUAUGUAACUUAAUUAAAUAGGUCAGUGCCCUAUUUCCCCGUUUAUGAAGUCUUAGCAAUGCUCCCUUGUAUCGACCGAUCUGUGCCGUGUUUUCCGGCCUACAUCCGAGAGUUGAUAAUAUAGUGUUUUUCAUAGUUUUCAUUAUUUCUUAUUUGGAUUUCAACCGUAUAAUUAGUAUUAGGGUUUGGAAUCAAUUGAAAUCUAUUAUUCUAUUCGGUAUUUCAACCAUUAUUAUAAUUUAGACAAAUAUUAUGUCCAAGAUUUGUCUGGGCUUAGAACGGAUCAGUGGUUUCCAAACUUUUUAGAGUUGGGACCCACUAUUUAUUACCAAAGCUUAUGGCGACCCAUUGACGUUAUUUUAUUUUAUUUUGUUUUUUUAAGACAUAACACAGAACACAGCAAUGGCUAAUCAUCGCAAAACUAAUACGACAGUGGCAUUGGGUGACUGGUAUAGGCUUUGAGACGCAAAGAGAUUGUAAUUGCUCGCGCGUACCAGAUUACCUAAACGAAAAACUCGUUUCGCAGGCACAUUAUUCAAAAUUGGCACGUCUCCGCAGGCCGCACAAUUUUUCUUUGCGAACCGCACUUGACCCAUGGGCCGCAGUUUGCUCACCUCAGAUGGUGGUGAAGAGUUAUUCGACCUGACCAUAGCUGUAAACCCUCGUAUACCAAUUGUUUUGUAUCGAGCAUGUGUCAUUGGUUUCCCUUCACCAAAUCGAACCAUUUUUUUUAUAUACCCAUGAUCUGAUUUGGUAUACACUCGGUUGAAUAACACUGUCUAUUCUAUAUAGUCUAUCUGUCUAUCUAGUCUAUUACUCUCCUGAUUUUAUAAUCAGUUUUUAUUUAUUUGUUUUUACCAACCAUUUUAUCGCCUUUUUGCUGAUUAUGGAGUCGAAAUAAACUUAUCUUAUCUCUUUACUAUAUCUGAUCCAUUCGUUGCCGUGGAAGACUAUUGCGCUGCUGUAUAUACGAACAAUACACUCUACGUGUUGCAGUCAAGUAACAGUGACUCGGCCAUAUUAUGGGUAAUACGAUUUGUUUAAUCAUUUAAAUACUGACAAAAGAAAGCAAUUGGGCCUAGUUAAACGGCAGUAAUUAUACGUUAUCUUCGUCUAGAAUGAAGGCCGUAACUACUCAUUAAUUUAAUAUUGGGGUUAAUUAUUCUCGUCCGCGUGUGUAAAUUAGCAAACAAAAGCUUGGUGUAAUCUGAACACAUUUGGCGCCAAUAGCUUUUGUGAACAAAUUAUGUUCGGUACCUGACUUUUAGCAAUAGCUUCGCCGCGUUCCACGGCAAAAAGCUCUAAGCUCACUCCUAAACAAUUAAUCAACUCCAUGUAUGUUUAUUUGUCCCGCAAUAGUGAGCAAUAUAAAUAAAUUGACAAGUAAUAAUAUUGGAGACGGGAUGCACGCACAAGACCGUGCUGGCCUAAAGCACAAACGAGCGGCAUGCACCCCUUGAGACAAAUAUAAAACAUAAAUUAUUAGAAAAAAUACGUAUCAUAUGGUCCCUUAUACAGACAGUUGUGCGAAGUGAGGCGAUGGGUUGGUGUGGAGAGAGUGGUAAGGGAGAAGUAUACAAAGUUGUUUAUAAGACAAGACAAUACCGGUAUAUAUAAAAACACAACACCAAAUACACAUAUACAUAUUGAAGAAAUAAAAAUUUAGGCUUAAAUACAGCACACCCUUGAGUGGUGAGACCAUAUCAUAUGAAUGGGCGAAAUAUAAGAGGUAAAUGUGCGGUUCUUAUGCCUGUAUGGUAUGUGUCACUCAAGGGUGAUAAUAGUGUCUUUGAUAGAAUAUGGCUUAUUUUGCCAAAAUGUGAACCAUACGGGUUUUGGUUAAAUAUUGCAGUGUUGCGUAUCAAAUUCUUAGGUAUUCUUGUUCUAUUUAAAAAUUAAAGCCAAAUGUGGUAAAAAUUAAAGAAAAAUAAACUCAGUGAAAAGUAUUUCAACAAAACCUAUCAUGAUUGCAUUUUUGCCAAAAGAAAGAAAUGUGUAAAAAGAUAAGCAUUGUUUCCAUGUCAAGGAUUGCCCAAAAUGAAUUAAAAUCACAAUUGAAUAAUAUAGUUUCCUGGGGCUUUGGUGGUCGAUGACGAAGCAUAGAAGAUUUCGUAAAAUACAGCCAUUUAAAAAAGAUUCAAAAGCUGUUUUCUUCUAACAAGCACUGAUAUACGAUUUUGUUAUUACAAUUUCGCUUUACCUGAUGUCAAGAUUUUUCAUUCGUUGUUUUCUUCUAAUUUAUAUGCAUUUGUUCUUCGUACUUUCUGCCUCACUUUUUCACUGAACACUUCAAUUAUUUCUCCCGAUGCUAUUUUAUAUCCCGGACAUCUGCUUGCCACUAAACUUAAAGGUCAAUUUAUAUCUGAAACACUGUUUAAUGUUCAAAUAUAUUUAUAUACGGUAUCAUCUACUGUAACCUGUACAAGAGAUACCGGUAGGCUACCGUUUCCCGGUAAUGGUCAAAUGUAACUAUUUUCAUUAUGAAACCUAUUGUGUCAAUUUGAUUUAUUACACCUGACUCGCUUUAUCAGUGCACGCGGCCUAACACUUCACAUCGUAACUACGUGGACGGCUAGUUCACCUUCGAAAUUCCCCAAACUAAUUCCCGUAUAUCCGUUUGUUGAAUUAUUCGUACGGAUACUCACCUCCAAUACUUGGAGGGGCUAGAGUAUAAUUUUAUUCCAAUUUUCCUUAUUUUAGUUCUAUUACGAGUUCGGGGACUGUCUGUGUUAGCCAAGUGAAUAUCCUUCUGGCCAUAGGUUCCAGGCCCUUCACACUACUUGAUGUAAAUAAGCGGAAAAGAAUUAGUUACCCCCAUAUCGGUACAAACACUUCCGGAGCGCCGUUUUAAAACUCAAAAAUUAUAUACUUUUUGAAGUAGAUGAAUACACUUUUUGAAUGUCGCUGGUCGAUAGUCUUGGGAUUCUAUCAACCCUUCCCCAUUGAAACUGGGUAAUUACCACAUUCUCGUGAUUUGUGCUCAAUAAUAAUAAAUAAACUUGAUUUGACGUUAGGGAUUGUCUGCCUAGUACUGAAACAUUCCAUCUGUCAAAGUACGGUGCGUU